AGGAAACACUUUGAAUAGUAAUGGAAAUGCUACUGUCUGACACAAUUUGAGCUUGCUGCAGCAACGGAGUCUAACCUAUUCAGUGCUCUCUCUUCCACGAGACAAGCCAUUAUACAGAUUUAGACAGU